GGGUUGUGAGGUUAAGCGACUAAGCGUACACGGUGGAUGCCCUGGCAGUCAGAGGCGAUGAAGGACGUGCUAAUCUGCGAUAAGCGCCGGUAAGGUGAUAUGAACCGUUAUAACCGGCGAUUUCCGAAUGGGGAAACCCAGUGUGAUUCGUCACACUAUCAUUAACUGAAUCCAUAGGUUAAUGAGGCGAACCGGGGGAACUGAAACAUCUA
rnacentral:rRNA from 3 species